AUGGACCCCGAGCAGGCGGUGGAGAUGGUCGACGAGAACACCAUCUGCGUGGCGGCGAUCCUAGGCUCCACGCUCAACGGCGAGUUCGAGGACGUGAAGCGCAUCAACGACCUGCUCGAAGAGAAGAACAAGGAGACAGGGUGGGAGACGGCGAUCCACGUGGACGCGGCGAGCGGCGGCUUCAUCGCGCCGUUCCUGUACCCGGAGCUGGAGUGGGACUUCCGGCUGCCGUGGGUGAAGAGCAUCAACGUCAGCGGCCACAAGUACGGCCUCGUCUACCCCGGCAUCGGCUGGUGCGUCUGGCGCACCAAGGAGGACCUGCCGGACGACCUCGUCUUCCACAUCAACUACCUCGGCACCGACCAGCCCACCUUCACGCUCAACUUCUCCAAGGGCUCCAGCCAGGUCAUCGCGCAGUACUACCAGCUCAUCCGCCACGGCUUCGAGGGGCACAAGAACAUCAUGGAGAACUGCCAGGAGAAUGCCAUGGUGAUCAAGGAGGGCCUGGAGAAGACGGGCCGCUUCAACAUCGUGUCCAAGGACCAAGGCGUGCCACUGGUGGCCUUCUCCCUCAAGGACCACACCCGCCACGACGAGUUUGAGGUCUCCGACAUGCUGCGCCGCUUCGGCUGGAUCGUGCCGGCGUACACCAUGCCCGCCGACGCGCAGCACGUCACAGUGCUCCGCGUCGUUAUCCGGGAGGAGUUCAGCCGCACCCUCGCCGAGCGCCUGGUCCUCGACAUCGACACCGUCAUGAACCAGCUCGACGCGCUCCCGUCCAACGACGUCUGCAGUAAUAAGCAGUGA
rnacentral:rRNA from 1 species